CCUUAAACUUAACUCUUUCUUUACAAGGUUCAGAAUAAUUUCUCAUUACCAUUUAUGCUAACAGACCAUGAUAAGGACAUGGAGAUGUCUAAAUCCACUGAUUCACUGCAGAGAAAGGGGUAUUGGACAGUGCUCCAGAAGGAGUACCAUGUGUAUUUAAACUGUAAUCGGAGACAUCUAUUUUCAACCUCAACCACAAUCUAUUUCGUUACAGUGACAGGACUGAGCCAUCAAUGGCAGUCAUGCCUGACAAUCCAGAGGAGACAGAUCUGGCCGGACGCCCCACCUUGCCCCCAGCACAAGUACACAUGCCACCCAAGAUGACUCACUGCCGUCUAACAUGUUACACUUUGUGCAACUUCAAAGCCAUGGUCUAAUCACAAAUUUCUGCAAAGUGAGUGAUCUAAUGCAAACCUAUUCCAUAGAUGGAAAAUUUGUCUUUUUUUUUUUUUUUAAUUCAGGAGAACAGCAUAACUGUUUGCAACUAAGUGUGUUUCAUUGUUUUUCUGUAAGAGAAUUCACAGCAAAAGUACAGAUUCAACUAAGCUGAAGAAAGAAGUGAAAGCUUUGAAUAUACGACCUUUCCUCCAAAUCUGGAACUUUUAAUAUGAUGAUAACAAGGUAGGCACAGAGUAAGUCAGUGAACCAGAGCUCUAAAAAAACUCUGCUACUACAAUUUCAAAAAUGGAAUUACGAAUCCUAUAUCCUCCUAGGAACAUACACCACUGCUUCAGAAAUGGUCUGAGUUGAAAAUGAGAGUCAAACCUUCAUUUUCAAGAACCUUAUCUGGGUCAAGUUUUUAAAGCUGUAAGAGUGUUUACUGUUUUCCAAAAUCUGAUUUCUUGUUUCAUGUUGCAGCUGAAGGGCGUAUUACUUACUAAGGGUUGACAGGAUUACUGCUGGUGUACUGGUGGUUUUUCUUGAUUACACUUGUUUUUAAAUGUUUCCAUAAAUCUCCUAGCUGAUUCUGAAAAUAAUUUUCUAGUAAACUAAAAAGUCUUUUUUUUUUUUUUUUUUUUGCAGAAUUAUCUAAAAAUAAGGAGGGAAGAAAGUUUGUUUAAUGCUAUGCUCUGAAAUACCCACUCAUAUGGCCAGUUUGAAGGUUGUUGGACUUGCAUUUAAAGAAAAUGAAAUUUAAGUGGAAAGAAUUACAGGAACAAGAAAGUAUGCAAUGUGAUGAUAUGAAUAAUGUGCAGGGAGAACGUUCUAUUAAAACUUGUCUAUUCCUUACUUACAGAAGUUUUACUUUGUAUGUAAGCUAUUUUUUUUUUUUUUUGUAUUUCAUUUUGCAGGUAGUAUGGAAACUGAGAUUUCGGGUUAUUGACUAUUUUUCUUGUAUUACGCCAGGAGUUUCCCAUGAAAAUCUCUCCUAUUCUUACUAGGUUUACAAGAUUUACCUACUGAAAACUUCUUGAAACUAUUUCUUUUAUUUCACUGAUACAUUUUUUAACAUGACCAAUCCAAAGGAAUAACAUUUGCUUUUAUUUGGAUUUUCUAGGUUGUUUUAGUAAAGAAACUGACUUUAAACUCUGGGGGCUGUGGCUAAUUUUUGUUUGUUUUGUCUAAAAUUUACUUAUAGUUACUCUGCUUCUCAACAGUUAAGGUAGAAUAUGUAGCUUCUACAGAACGUCUGAAGAAUAAUAAUAUUUUAAAGCCUAUACUAUAUGCUUAUAUUUGCCUUGCAUGUAAUGUUAUCCCACUCAAUUAAAAAAAAAAAUGAUGUAUGAUUGAGAAAUUGGCCAUAGGAACCCUGUAAACCAAGCUCAGCUCAGCAGGCUGAAGACACCCAGCAACAACUGACUAAGUGAUUCAAACCGGGGGUAAAAAUGCUGCAGAUAGGUUUUAGAGGAAUCUUGACACUAUGCAACUUUUUGUAAACCGUGGUAAUGUCCUCCUGAAAUAUGUAAAUUUCAGGAAAAAAUGUAAGUGGACAAUUUUUUACCUUUACAAUAGAGAUUUAAUGUAAUCAAAUACCCCUGCUACUUGUUUCCUUCCAUUUCUGCCUGUUCCAAAAACAAUUAUAGUCUCAAAAAGAAAGCAUAGUCACUUAAUUAGCAUCAUUCUACAGCUGCUCCUUAAUAAAUCAACAUGAUAAAUAUGUGUAUCA
rnacentral:lncRNA from 1 species